AGUGAACGCUGGCGGUAGGCCUAACACAUGCAAGUCGAACGGCAGCACAGGAGAGCUUGCUCUCUGGGUGGCGAGUGGCGGACGGGUGAGGAAUACAUCGGAAUCUACUCUGUCGUGGGGGAUAACGUAGGGAAACUUACGCUAAUACCGCAUACGACCUACGGGUGAAAGCAGGGGACCUUCGGGCCUUGCGCGAUUGAAUGAGCCGGUGUCGGAUUAGCUAGUUGGCGGGGUAAAGGCCCACCAAGGCGACGAUCCGUAGCUGGUCGGAGAGGAUGAUCAGCCACACUGGAACUGAGACACGGUCCAGACUCCUACGGGAGGCAGCAGUGGGGAAUAUUGGACAAUGGGCGCAAGCCUGAUCCAGCCAUACCGCGUGGGUGAAGAAGGCCUUCGGGUUGUAAAGCCCUUUUGUUGGGAAAGAAAUCCAGCUGGCUAAUACCCGGUUGGGAUGACGGUACCCAAAGAAUAAGCACCGGCUAACUUCGUGCCAGCAGCCGCAGUAA
rnacentral:rRNA from 1 species